rnacentral:tRNA from 6 species
GGCUCUAUCGUCUAAUGGCUAGGACGGCAGAUUCUCAUUCUGUCAAUCGGGGUUCGAUUCCCCGUAGAGUCA